rnacentral:rRNA from 1 species
GACGAACGCUGGCGGCGUGCCUAAUACAUGCAAGUAGAACGCUGAAGAGAGGAGCUUGCUCUUCUUGGAUGAGUUGCGAACGGGUGAGUAACGCGUAGGUAACCUGCCUUGUAGCGGGGGAUAACUAUUGGAAACGAUAGCUAGUACCGCAUAACAAUGGAUGACACAUGUCAUUUAUUUGAAAGGGGCAAUUGUUCCACUACAAGAUGGACCUGCGUUGUAUUAGCUAGUAGGUGAGGUAAUGGCUCACCUAGGCGACGAUACAUAGCCGACCUGAGAGGGUGAUCGGCCACACUGGGACUGAGACACGGCCCAGACUCCUACGGGAGGCAGCAGUAGGGAAUCUUCGGCAAUGGGGGCAACCCUGACCGAGCAACGCCGCGUGAGUGAAGAAGGUUUUCGGAUCGUAAAGCUCUGUUGUAAGUCAAGAACGGGUGUGAGAGUGGAAAGUUCACACUGUGACGGUAGCUUACCAGAAAGGGACGGCUAACUACGUGCCAGCAGCCGCGGUAAUACGUAGGUCCCGAGCGUUGUCCGGAUUUAUUGGGCGUAAAGCGAGCGCAGGCGGUUUGAUAAGUCUGAAGUUAAAGGCUGUGGCUCAACCAUAGUUCGCUUUGGAAACUGUCAAACUUGAGUGCAGAAGGGGAGAGUGGAAUUCCAUGUGUAGCGGUGAAAUGCGUAGAUAUAUGGAGGAACACCGGUGGCGAAAGCGGCUCUCUGGUCUGUAACUGACGCUGAGGCUCGAAAGCGUGGGGAGCGAACAGGAUUAGAUACCCUGGUAGUCCACGCCGUAAACGAUGAGUGCUAGGUGUUGGAUCCUUUCCGGGAUUCAGUGCCGCAGCUAACGCAUUAAGCACUCCGCCUGGGGAGUACGACCGCAAGGUUGAAACUCAAAGGAAUUGACGGGGGCCCGCACAAGCGGUGGAGCAUGUGGUUUAAUUCGAAGCAACGCGAAGAACCUUACCAGGUCUUGACAUCCCGAUGCUAUUUCUAGAGAUAGAAAGUUACUUCGGUACAUCGGUGACAGGUGGUGCAUGGUUGUCGUCAGCUCGUGUCGUGAGAUGUUGGGUUAAGUCCCGCAACGAGCGCAACCCCUAUUGUUAGUUGCCAUCAUUCAGUUGGGCACUCUAGCGAGACUGCCGGUAAUAAACCGGAGGAAGGUGGGGAUGACGUCAAAUCAUCAUGCCCCUUAUGACCUGGGCUACACACGUGCUACAAUGGUUGGUACAACGAGUUGCGAGUCGGUGACGGCGAGCUAAUCUCUUAAAGCCAAUCUCAGUUCGGAUUGUAGGCUGCAACUCGCCUACAUGAAGUCGGAAUCGCUAGUAAUCGCGGAUCAGCACGCCGCGGUGAAUACGUUCCCGGGCCU